rnacentral:piRNA from 1 species
UGAAGUCCCACAAGGCUUAACAGCCUU